UGGGUGAGUCUUUGACCACUGGAACUUGCAUUGCCGUGUACCAGAGGUACCUCUAUGAUCAGUUGAAGGCAUAUGAAAUGGUGGACAUGGUUGCAUUUGUUGAUCCUUCACUUAUUGGUGUUGUGGGCUGUGGGAAUGGAACUGUCAAAAGAUAGGCUUGUUGCUGGUCCUUUUUUGCUAAGGAAAGCAUCCUUUUUUGUGCUUCUCUGUUGGUACAUUGUCAUGCACCAUGUGUUGCAUGUUUUGGAACAAUAGAUAUAUAUGUAUCAGCUUUUUGAUGUGUUAAGUGGAUGGGCAUGCACUAGAAUGCUUUUCUUGUUUAAAAUGUUGGGUUCAAUGAUUAGUGGUUUGCAAUGUUUA